UAGGACCUACGGGGGGCAGCAGUGGGGGAUAUUGCACAAUGGGGGAAACCCUGAUGCAGCAACGCCGCGUGAGUGAAGAAGUAUUUCGGUAUGUAAAGCUCUAUCAGCAGGGAAGAGAAUGACGGUACCUGACUAAGAAGCCCCGGCUAACUACGUGCCAGCAGCCGCGGUAAUACGUAGGGGGCGAGCGUUAUCCGGAUUUACUGGGUGUAAAGGGAGCGUAGACGGCUGGUCAAGUCUGAUGUGAAAGUCCGGGGCUCAACCCCGGGACUGCAUUGGAAACUGUCCGGCUAGCGUGCAGGAGG
rnacentral:rRNA from 1 species